UCCAACUGGUAUCAAGAGAUCCUCUCAGAAGGAGAAUGAAGAGCCCACUGAAGAAAAUGUAAUUGAAGAGAAGGCCAUCCCCCAAAGAUCUUUGUGAUUCAGUCCCUCUACUGGAACCCAGCUGUCAUAUGUAGAGGACAAAUUAAGAAGAUGGGAAAGCGUACAACAACUCAAAGACAC
rnacentral:lncRNA from 11 species